UACGUAGGUGGCAAGCGUUGUCCGGAUUUACUGGGCGUAAAGGAUGCGUAGGCGGACAUUUAAGUCAGAUGUGAAAUACCCGGGCUCAACUUGGGUGCUGCAUUUGAAACUGGGUGUCUAGAGUGCAGGAGAGGAAAGCGGAAUUCCUAGUGUAGCGGUGAAAUGCGUAGAGAUUAGGAAGAACACCAGUGGCGAAGGCGGCUUUCUGGACUGUAACUGACGCUGAGGCAUGAAAGCGUGGGGAGCAAACAGGAUUAGAUACCCGAGUAGUCC
rnacentral:rRNA from 1 species